rnacentral:rRNA from 1 species
GUGAAAUUGUUGAAAGGGAAACGCUUGAAGUCAGUCACGUUGGCUAGAAAUCAGCCUUGCUCUUGCUUGGUGUACCUUCUGGUUGAUGGGUCAGCAUCAAUUUCGACCAUUGGAUAAAGUCUCUGGGAAUGUGGCAUCUUAGGAUGUGUUAUAGCCCAGGGUCGCAUACAGUGGUUGGGAUUGAGGAAUUCAGCACGCCGCAAGGCCGGGUUUCGACCACGUUCGUGCUUAGGAUGCUGGCAUAAUGGCUUUAAUCGACCCGUCUUGAAACACGGACCAAGGAGUCUAACAUGCCUGCGAGUGUUUGGGUGGAAAAACCCAUGUGCGCAAUGAAAGUGAAAGUUGAGAUCCCCCUCAAAAGGGAGCAUUGACGCCCGGACCAGACCUUCUGUGACGGAUCCGCGGUAGAGCAUGUAUGUUGGGACCCGAAAGAUGGUGAACUAUGCCUGAAUAGGGUGAAGCCAGAGGAAACUCUGGUGGAGGCUCGUAGCGAUUCUGACGUGCAAAUCGAUCGUCAAAUUUGGGUAUAGGGGCGAAAGACUAAUCGAACCAUCUAGUAGCUGGUUCCUGACGAAGUUUCCCUCAGGAUAGCAGAAACUCAUUAUCAGAUUUAUGUGGUAAAGCGAAUGAUUAGAGGCCUUGGGGUUGAAACAACCUUAACCUAUUCUCAAACUUUAAAUAUGUAAGAACGAGCCGUCUCUUGACUGGACCGCUCGACGAUUGAG